ACUGGAAUUGCUGGGUCAUAUGGUAACUCUAUGUUUAACAUUUUGAGGAAUUGCCAGAUUGUUUUCCAAAGCAGCUGCACCAUUUUGCAGUCCCAUCAGCAAU
rnacentral:pre_miRNA from 1 species